AUCCCCCACACCAGAGCUUAUUGCAAAGGUUAUAGUGCAGCUGGGAAAUGCAGAGCUAACAACGUCUAAGCUCUUCAUAGAGUUUCUUUUGUCCUCUAGGAAACCAUCAAAGAUAAUCUCCACUGGUCUAUUUCUUCUGACAUUUGAGCGGAGACUGAGAACCAAGCUCUAUGUUUAGAACAAUAAGAGUUGCUGCACUGUUCCUCAUUUUUCACUGUUUCUUGUUUCUUGUUGUGGCGCCUUUCUCUGAUGUGAAUAAUAACCUUGUACUAUGAGAACACAGUUAGUCGGGUGAUGGCAAAGAGACCACGUCAAUCCAAAAGGGAUGUUACAACCCGAAUUCCACUAAGCCGUGAUGUCGCCUAACCAACCCAUCAAGCGAAUCAAUCAACACGAAUAUACCCAGAAAAUGAGACAAUAACAUAAAAGUAUAGUUUGGAUUGGAACUUUAGGGGCUCGGAUGAGUUUCAGCAUACUUGAAACAGUCUGGAAUUUUUUUGAACUGUAGUAGCUCGCAAUGCAGCCGAAUGUGGCUGGUCGGCUGUGCACCAACACUGGUCGAGUGCAACCGACAAUGCGCCAGAGCUGCUAAGGUCCUGCCUAGGCAUUUCAAAGUCGAGUUCAGUAGUUUUAUUUCAUUCUUCAAUAUUUUAAGACUUGGGGAGCUUGAUUUUGAGAGGUUCCAAGUGAGGAUUUCAUCUAUUUCCUUGGGCAGCUUCAUGAUGUGACCCUUGGAAGCUUGGUAACUUUCCAUUAUUGAGCCAGUACCAAAUAACAUGUGUAGUUCAUAUUCUGCAACCGGCGAUUAGCCAUGUAAUUGAUGCUCUGACUACGGGGGUGGUUGAUGAACUAUGGAGGUUCAAAGUUUCCUCACUAAACACUUAAAUACAUCAAUAUUGAGCUUAUUGGACUUAUGCUUCAUCAUUUGAUAUAGUUGCAUCAGAGAACAGGUAAGACAAUGGUUAUUACAUUGUGUAAACUUGCCAUCUUUUCGGAUAGAACUGUUUGAUUGGUUUUGUAAGAUUCAGUAAUUGACUCUUUUCUCUGUUUGUAGUGAAAAUUUUUAGAUCUUUAAUUUGAAUUUCAAGUAUUAUUCUAUAUUCAAUACAUAAUUGUAACAUCCUCCAAGUAAUGGAUUUAAGGAUGCUUGGAGUGUUGAAGCAUAUCAUUUACUUUCAAAACUUCCAAUAAGAUGCCCCAGAUAAUUGGUAAAUCUACAGAACCUGCAACUAGUCGUGGUUGCUCUGUCCUAUUAUAUUCAGAGUUAGUUACCUCUCGUUUGCAUCUGAAGCCAUUGAUCUUAGGUAGCAUUUCUCAUUUCCCCCCAAAUUUCUUUAGCUUUAAGUUUUUCUUAUUUGUUAAGUGCUGAUAUGAUAAUAUUCUAUAGUGUGUUUCUGGCACACACUUACGCUGUGAAGCACAAUCACUUGUUGUCUCUGAUGCUUCAAUCAUGGCAGUUUUAUUGUUCUCGUUCUAUUUGC